UGGCAAGUUACGAUAAUGGCCACUACCCCACUCCACUCUCUAUAACAGAUUUCGCAUGGCCCCACCACUCUCUGGCAAGUCGCGACAACGGACACCACUCCACUCUCCAUAACAAACUCCAUGUGACUCUGAACGGCCCACUGACGUCACUACUCUUCGCAACAAACUCUGCGUGGCCACAAAUGGCCCACUAUCAGGCGGUUACAGACAUCGCUAUCAAGCGGUUACUCUCCUUCGUCUAUAAAAGAGACCCCCCAGAUACAUUUUUCUCUAAGCUCAAAACUCUAUCUCGAAACUCUGCCAAAAUUUUAUUUGAGUGCUCCAUUUCUGUUGAAGCAGAGUACUGACUUGAGUGUCGGAGGGUCUUGCCGGAGCACCCCCAACUCUGAUUUAGACUUUCCUUGUAGGUCUCGACGGCGGCCGCGGCCAUCUCGACUUCAGCUUCUCCGACGUCGGUGGAAUUUUGUACCAACAGAAUUGGCGCUAGAGGAAGGGUCUUGUAUCUUCGCAGGACCCUUGUUCUUAAAGGAGUACUCAGCGGGAUUGUCUUCA
rnacentral:lncRNA from 1 species